UUCAGCUUCAGUUUGUCAGAACCAGUUGGGAUGCAACAGGAUUUUCAGUUUUGCUGCCUUCCAUGCAUGAAUGGCUAGGAAACCAACAUGGCUUUGCCUGCCAGUGGAGAGAAGUGGAGAAGAAUGCUUCAAGGCAGAGAGCUUGGACUCCACAGAGAUGGCUAAAAGGGACAGACAUAAAAGAAACUCAGCUUGAUUCAAGGGUUAUACAGAUGUGAUCAAGGAUUUUACAAUGGAGAGAUAAUACUGGAUUAUCUGGGUGAGCUCUAAAUGUAAUCCCAUGCAUUCUUACAAGAGGCAGGCAGAGGGAGAUUUGACACAGACAGAAGAGAAGGCAAUGUGACUGCGAAUCAGAUAUUGAAGUAAUGUGGCCGCAAACCAAGGAAAGCCAUCAGCCUUCAGAAGAAUCAAGGAAUGAAUUCUCCUCUACAGCCUCUGAAGCGAACAAAACCCUGCCAACACCUUGAUUUCAGUCGAGUGAUAAUUAUUUCACACCUUUUGCCCCCAACAAUGUGAGAGAAUAAAUUUCUGUUAUUUCAAGCCAUCAAGUUUGUAGUAAUUUGUUACAGCAGCCAUAGAAACCUAAUAAACU
rnacentral:lncRNA from 10 species